CCUACGUGAUGCUGCAGUGGGGAAUAUUGGACAAUGGGCGAAAGCCUGAUCCAGCCAUGCCGCGUGUGUGAAGAAGGCCUUCGGGUUGUAAAGCACUUUCAGUGGGGAAGAAAGCCUUGGGGCUAAUACCCUCGAGGAAGGACAUCACCCACAGAAGAAGCACCGGCUAACUCCGUGCCAGCAGCCGCGGUAAUACGGAGGGUGCGAGCGUUAAUCGGAAUUACUGGGCGUAAAGCGCGCGUAGGCGGUCUGAUAAGCCGGUUGUGAAAGCCCGGGCUCAACCUGGGAACGGCAUCCGGAACUGUCAGGCUAGAGUGCAGGAGAGGAAGGUAGAAUUCCCGGUGUAGCGGUGAAAUGCGUAGAGAUCGGGAGGAAUACCAGUGGCGAAGGCGGCCUUCUGGACUGACACUGACGCUGAGGUGCGAAAGCGUGGGUAGCAAACAGGAUUAGAUACCCUAGUAGUC
rnacentral:rRNA from 1 species